rnacentral:rRNA from 1 species
CGGAAUAACUGGGUGUAAAGGGAGCGCAGGCGGGAGAACAAGUGGAAGUGAAAUCCAUGGGCUCACCCAUGAACUGCUUUCAAACUGUUUUUCUUGAGUAGUGCAGAGGUAGGCGGAAUUCCCGGUGUAGCGGUGGAAUGCGUAGAUAUCGGGAGGAACACCAGUGGCGAAGGCGGCCUACUGGGCACCAACUGACGCUGAGGCUCGAAAGUGUGGGUAGCAAACAGGAUUAGAUACCCUGGUAGUCCACACCGUAAACGAUGAUUACUAGGUGUUGGAGGAUUGACCCCUUCAGUGCCGCAGUUAACACAAUAAGUAAUCCACCUGGGGAGUACGACCGCAAGGUUGAAACUCAAAGGAAUUGACGGGGGCCCGCACAAGCAGUGGAGUAUGUGGUUUAAUUCGACGCAACGCGAAGAACCUUACCAAGUCUUGACAUCCCUUGACGAUGCUGGAAACAGUAUUUCUCUUCGGAGCAAGGAGACAGGUGGUGCAUGGUUGUCGUCAGCUCGUGUCGUGAGAUGUUGGGUUAAGUCCCGCAACGAGCGCAACCCUUAUGGUCAGUUACUACGCAAGAGGACUCUGGCCAGACUGCCGUUGACAAAACGGAGGAAGGUGGGGAUGACGUCAAAUCAUCAUGCCCUUUAUGACUUGGGCUACACACGUACUACAAUGGCGUUAAACAAAGAGAAGCAAGACCGCGAGGUGGAGCAAAACUCAGAAACAACGUCCCAGUUCGGACUGCAGGCUGCAACUCGCCUGCACGAAGUCGGAAUUGCUAGUAAUCGUGGAUCAGCAUGCCACGGUGAAUACGUUCCCGGGCCUUGUACACACCGCCCGUCACACCAUGAGAGCCGGGGGGACCCGAAGUCGGUAGUCUAACCGCAAGGAGGACGCCGCCGAAGGUAAAACUGGUGAUUGGGGUGAAGUCGUAACAAGGUAGCCGUAGGAGAACCUGCGGCUG